rnacentral:rRNA from 1 species
UACGUAGGGUGCGAGCGUUAAUCGGAAUUACUGGGCGUAAAGCGUGCGCAGGCGGUUUUGUAAGACAGGCGUGAAAUCCCCGGGCUUAACCUGGGAAUUGCGCUUGUGACUGCAAGGCUAGAGUGCGUCAGAGGGGGGUAGAAUUCCACGUGUAGCAGUGAAAUGCGUAGAGAUGUGGAGGAAUACCGAUGGCGAAGGCAGCCCCCUGGGACGUGACUGACGCUCAUGCACGAAAGCGUGGGGAG